rnacentral:lncRNA from 1 species
AUGGCGUUUCCCCUCCAAGGAGCUUGGAUUCCAGCAGGAAUGGCUUCCUUUUACAUUUCUGCAGCCUGUUCUUGUCUGCCGGGUCCCAGAUGCUGUCCACACUUCGUAGGAAAGAAGAGCCCGCAGAGGGACCAUUCCUGCCAUUGGACACCUCCAUGCCAGAUGGGGAGUGUAGCAUGGGCUGCUGGGGCCUCCGCACAUCUGUUCUCCACUCUUCCCUGUUGCUGCCUUGCUAAAAUGAAGAGAAAUUGAAGCCCUUUGUGAGGUCAUCAAAGGGAUUAGAACAUAGAGGAGGAAAGGGGAUGCACGGGGUCUUUGCUUCAGUUGGACAAAGGUAACCCAUUUAUGUACAUGGUCAAGGGCCUUGUUUCUGGAUAAAAGAAGACGCUCAUAAAUUUUAAUCUGAGAGCAUCAUUGGCAGUGAGAGAUUGUAAAAGUAAAAUAUUCACUUUGAAAAAUGAAGCCUAUUAAAUUCAAGGCAUUGCAAUUUCCCAUUGUGAGACUGUGGUACCAGCGAUUAAGCUCUAUUGUGUGUCUACAGUCCUUGUUACCGGCGGUAUUUCGUAUUAUUAACUGAGAUGCUAAGAAUAUCAGCUCUCUGAAGCUAAAGCGCCGUUCUGCUCCUCACGUGACACAAUUUGCAUACAUCUAAGGAUUCAUCCUCGAUUUGUCUCUUUCCCUUAUUCCCUGUAUCCUGUUUAGAAGCCAGUCCUGUAGACUACACCUCCAAAUGGAUCCUGUGUGUGUUCACUUCUCUGCCCACGCGGCUCCCAUCCAGACCACUGCGGCAGCUUCUGAGCUGGUCUAUGUGCUACGUGUUCUCCGCAUGCAGGCAGCCACUCUCUUAAAAGACGGAAGCUGUCUUAGGAUGUGUGCCCCAGCAGCAGACCCUGAGAUGAGGAUUUGUGUGAAGGUAAUUUGUUAAUGAGUGCUCCCAGGGAAGCCGAGAAAGUGAGUGAGGAAAUGAGGCCGGGAAGGGAAGGAGGCAGAGCGAGCAUGCAAUCUCAAGGAGUCCUGGGGAAGGUUACUUGGGCUUGGCCCACAAGAGAGUUUUGGAGUGUACACCAUAGCUCAGACCGCCCCAGUCAGGAACAAGGGAGCUAGAGUAUUGCUGCUCCUUGUACGCAUCAGUCAUUUGUGCUCGCUGCAGCCAGGGGUCAUACCUUUCCAGACAACUCAGGCUCUGAGUAUGUAGGAUAAAGAAUAUUCUCACAACACCUCCAGGAAAUAAGCAUGAUGGUUACUUUCAUUC